GAUGAACGCUGGCGGCGUGCCUAAUACAUGCAAGUCGAGCGAACGGACGAGAAGCUUGCUUCUCUGAUGUUAGCGGCGGACGGGUGAGUAACACGUGGAUAACCUACCUAUAAGACUGGGAUAACUUCGGGAAACCGGAGCUAAUACCGGAUAAUAUUUUGAACCGCAUGGUUCAAAAGUGAAAGACGGUCUUGCUGUCACUUAUAGAUGGAUCCGCGCUGCAUUAGCUAGUUGGUAAGGUAACGGCUUACCAAGGCAACGAUGCAUAGCCGACCUGAGAUGGUGAUCGGCCUCACUGGAACUGAGACACGGUCCAGACUCCUACGGGAGGCAGCAGUAGGGAAUCUUCCGCAAUGGGCGAAAGCCUGACGGAGCAACGCCGCGUGAGUGAUGAAGGUCUUCGGAUCGUAAAACUCUGUUAUUAGGGAAGAACAUAUGUGUAAGUAACUGUGCACAUCUUGACGGUACCUAAUCAGAAAGCCACGGCUAACUACGUG
rnacentral:rRNA from 1 species